rnacentral:rRNA from 1 species
AAUAGAUACCCGGGUAGUCCACGCCGUAAACGAUGAGUGCUAAGUGUUAGAGGGUUUCCACCCUUUAGUGCUGCAGCUAACGCAUUAAGCACUCCGCCUGGGGAGUACGGUCGCAAGACUGAAACUCAAAGGAAUUGACGGGGGCCCGCACAAGCGGUGGAGCAUGUGGUUUAAUUCGAAGCAACGCGAAGAACCUUACCAGGUCUUGACAUCCUCUGACAACUCUAGAGAUAGAGCGUUCCCCCUUCGGGGGACAGAGUGACAGGUGGUGCAUGGUUGUCGUCAGCUCGUGUCGUGAGAUGUUGGGUUAAGUCCCGCAACGAGCGCAACCCUUGAUCUUAGUUGCCAGCAUUUAGUUGGGCACUCUAAGGUGACUGCCGGUGACAAACCGGAGGAAGGUGGGGAUGACGUCAAAUCAUCAUGCCCCUUAUGACCUGGGCUACACACGUGCUACAAUGGAUGGUACAAAGGGCUGCAAGACCGCGAGGUCAAGCCAAUCCCAUAAAACCCAUUCUCAGUUCGGAUUGUAGG